rnacentral:tRNA from 2 species
GGAGAAGUGGCCGAGAGGCUGAAGGCGCUCGCCUGCUAAGCGAGUGUAGGAGUGAAUGCUCCUAUCGAGGGUUCGAAUCCCUCCUUCUCCGCCA